UACGUAGGGUGCGAGCGUUGUCCGGAAUUAUUGGGCGUAAAGAGCUCGUAGGCGGUCUGUCGCGUCGGUCGUGAAAACUUGGGGCUUAACCCUGAGCUUGCGGUCGAUACGGGCAGGCUCGAGUUCGGUAGGGGAGACUGGAAUUCCUGGUGUAGCGGUGAAAUGCGCAGAUAUCAGGAGGAACACCGGUGGCGAAGGCGGGUCUCUGGGCCGAUACUGACGCUGAGGAGCGAAAGCGUGGGGAGCGAACAGG
rnacentral:rRNA from 1 species